UACGUAGGGGGCGAGCGUUGUCCGGAGUUACUGGGCGUAAAGGGCGUGCAGGCGGUGCGGUAAGUUUAGCGUGACAGUCUCCGGCUUAACUGGAGAAGGCCGCUGAAAACUGCUGGACUUGAGGGCGAGAGAGGGACAUAGAAUUCCGGGUGGAGUGGUGAAAUGCGUAGAUAUCCGGAGGAAUACCAAAGGCGAAGGCAGUGUCCUGGCUGGCAACUGACGCUGAGGCGCGAAAGCUAGGGGAGCGAACAGG
rnacentral:rRNA from 1 species